GGUUUAUCAGGGGUUUCUGCUUUUGCUUCUUCUUCCUUCUCUCUUGCCUCCACCAUGCAAGAAGUGCCUUUUGCCCUCCACCAUGAUUGUGAGACCUUCCCCAGCCACGUGGAACUACGAAGAAAUGCUGAUCAUAACCCAGAAUAUCCAAGGGUCAUUUCAUCUUACAAAAACAGCAGCAUCCAUAUAACAGGCACAUGGGUAAAAGACUCAAGACAUGCUGGUUAUAUGCUCUCGCAGUUCGUAUGAAUCUCUCCUUCUCCAAGUGACAGCUGGAAUUCAGGUGCUUCUAGGCUCUGUUACUAGCAAUGUUAGACACUCCUCGAAGCUGUCAAGCUCUCAGGAUUACACAAGUGAAACCACAACCUGUCCUGACUGUAUUCAAGUCUGUGCCCCUUCAUGCAGCAGAAAUGGAUUCCUCUUCCACAGUUUCAGCAGCUGUAUCCUUCCGUGGAAAAGGAUUAGCAGCCAUAAGCCCGGGGGAGGGCAGCUAAACACCAGAGGGCAGGAGAUGAGUCUCCUUCCUCUCUGUGACACCCAGCACGGCCCUGCCACGAGGAGCAGGCAACCACUGGUGCCAGAUGAAGCGCAGCACAUAAAACCAUUUUCCCCUUCAAAUGAACGAUGCCUAAUUAAGCAAAAGCCGCAUGCAUGACUUAAGACAUGAGGAUAUAAAAUUCGUCUUCCGAGUCAGCUAGAGAUUCUGCAGGAUCCUCUACCCUCGUAAACGUAUUUUUUUAUGAUUAGAAAAACCCGGGGCCUGGAAGGGACCUCGGCCAUCGGCAGGGUAAGCUUCUCAGGAGAGACCAUGAGCCCGAGCCCCACAGGGGGAUCAGUGUCUGCCAAGGUCACCAAGCGGGUGUGAGGCAAGGGCAGGGCUCCUCGGGGAUGCUCUCGGAAAACCCUGCGUUACUUACACACGCAAGGCGUACAAUGAAUGCACACCCGCGUCAAGCCACGGCUUACAAUUCAGAAGAAAUCAAAAGGUCGCCAAAACCUGUCUUCUCCGCAAGGCUGGCUGCAGAGAGGGUGCAGGGAAGGUCACCGGCAAAUUUCUACCAGCGGCCCCACAUCACGCCUCCCCGAUGGAUGCAGAGAGAGGUUUCAGGAGCUGCUAGUAACCUUGCAGGGGGUUCCCUAAGCCCAUCCCAGGAAAACGAGUUAACUCGGCUCUGCUAACUCCGAAGCUUCCAGCAAUGAAUUAAAUCCCGAGCUGCAGCGGAAAGCGGCGGGGAAAGGGCCACUGCGGCGGGACCCGACACCCGGCGGUCCGCCCCACCCUCUACCGCGUACACACCUGCGUGGGACCCCCCGCCCGGUCCACACGGCCCGGGACCACGACCCUCCGCCCGCGCCCCAGCCGGGCUCGCCUGAGGGUGUCGUGCCCUGGGCGCUGCCCGCGGGGUUCGAGGCGGAAACGCCGCGCCCAGCCGGCCCGGGAAGAGACAAGUCGCCGCCGCAGCCCCCAGCCCGCGGGCCCCCGCGACGCCGAGGAGGGGGCUGCGCCACGUACCUCGGCCGGCAGGUGCCGCCGCUGCCUCGGUCCGCGGCUGCAGGGGACGCCGCUCCGCGCAGCCCGCCGCCUUCGUCCGCAUACUAAUGAGGGGGCGCCGGCCGGCCGCCAGCCCGGUACCCCGCGCCCCCACCCGCCCCCAGCGCCGCUCUCGCGCCCAUUCAGCUGGGGGCCGCCGCUCCCCCGCUCAGAUGCGGAGGAGGGGCGCGUGGGCGGGGUCUGACGUCACGAGGACGCGGACGGCCAAUCGGAGAGCACGAUGCCUCCGCGGCGGCCCCCGCCCCCGGGCGCGCGGCCAGUCAGCCCUGCGGUGCGGUGGGCAUUGCCAGAGCAGGGCGCCCCCUGCAGGGACGCACCCGGGGCGGGGGCCAGGCUGGGGCGAGCCCCCCUUGGUUCUGGAGAGGAAAUGACAUACAGUUUGUGAAAGCAUAAAUAUUCGUGAAAAUAAGAAAAUUCAGGAAGGAAACAAAGCUUAAGGCAGUGAUUGAUAGGUUAUUUCUUGGACACAGCUGAACGUAUACUGUGCGCCUGCAACUUUCCGGUGGUUUCGGACCGGACUUCAGUGAAGCCAGUGAAGUCGGUCGACUUGCAGAACUUCCUUUCAGAGGGGCGUACACAGCACCGCGGCCGUGUGCCUGUGAUCUCCUUCUGAGUUUGAAAAAGAAGAUCCUAGACACCGAGCCAAAUAUGUUUGCAUAAACCGGGAGACUUGUGGCUCUAUUUUGUAACAGCUUGGCGCAGGGCAGCUGGUUUGGAGAUGUCUCUGUUCUUCCCUUGGUGGGGGUGCCGGAAAAAAUGUGCUGCCUGGGCGAUCGAGGUUGGGGCAAAAGCGUUGCAAAGGAAAAGGUGGGAGGACUCUACUUUCACAUUUCCCAAAAGAGUUUUACCAUAAGACUAUUUCUGGAUUGUUCUAACGUGAGGAUAUUGGGAGCAUUUUGAAAAUACUGGAGGAAAAGCUGUCACUGGGCGAUUUAAAUCCGGAAGCUGGAAAGUCCAAGAUCAGGGAGUCAGCAUCUGGUGAAGGCCUUCUUGCUGUGUCAUCCCAUGGUGGAACAUGGAAGGGUAAGAGAGCACACGCAAGAGACAGCAAGAGCCAAAGGGGGCCACACUCAUUUUUCCAUUAGGAGCUCACUCCCAACUCCACGAUAAUGAACCCACUCCCACAAUCAUAGCAUUAAUCCAUUCAUGUGGGUGAAGCCCUCAUGACCUAUUCACCUCUCAAAGGUCCCACCUCUUAACACUGUUUCACUGGGGAUUAAGUUUCCAACAUAUGAACUUUGGAGAACAUAUUUAAGCCAUAGUAUCCCUCCAGACCCUCCUCUCCACCCUCCUCUGCCAUGCUUGGUGUCCUGAAAUGCUGACCUUUAUGAAUUGCAUCAUCCAGUCUACUUUGCCCUAGCUUCUGGUCAGGUUCAGCCAACGAAAGGCACUGGAGGCAGGGGCUAGAGGAGAAUGAGAUCAG
rnacentral:lncRNA from 1 species